GCCGUGGUGGUGUAGUGGUAUCACGCCCGAUCCUAAAAUCCUACGCUCCUAUUCGCCUACCUAAGUCCCUAAACUCGCUUACCUAAUAUCCUAAUUCUCUCUCUCUCCUCUGGGAUCGGGAGGUCGCAGGUUCGAUUCCUGCCCACGGUG
rnacentral:tRNA from 1 species